rnacentral:tRNA from 1 species
CAGGGAGACAACAAAAUGUUUAAUAUUAUUAUUUUGUCACCUUAGGUCGAUCGGUAUCUCACAUUUUUAAUUUAUUAAAAAUUUCUUUUCCUAAGUUUUUCUAGGUCACACCCAUUAUUUUUCCUGGGCCAUUAGCUCAGGUGGUUAGAGCGCACCCCUGAUAAGGGUGAGGUCCCUGGUUCAAGUCCAGGAUGGCCCAUAUCUCUAUGUUGGGGGUAUAGCUCAGUUGGUAGAGCGCCUGCUUUGCAAGCAGGAUGUCAGCGGUUCGAGUCCGCUUACCUCCACUGAUUACCACCUCUUCCAUAACCGGUAGAAAGGAAAUGUUUUGAGGUGUGAUCAAAUUCUGAAAGAAUCUAGCUUCCUAAUGAAAUCAUUAAGAUGCUGGAUUCAUUGAAUUAAUUUCAUUGUUUUCAGAGAACCUUGACAACUGCAUAGAUUAUUUUUAAAGACAAUAAGCAUCUUUAAUGAUGCAGAUUUAUUAUUUGUGCGAAUGCAUUAAUAACAAUUCUAUUAAGCUGAUGCUUCAAUUUUGAAGUUAUU